rnacentral:rRNA from 1 species
AGCGGAGGAAAAGAAACUAACAAGGAUUCCCCUAGUAACUGCGAGUGAAGCGGGAAAAGCUCAAAUUUAAAAUCUGGCGGUCUUCUGGCCGUCCGAGUUGUAGUCUGGAGAAGCGUUUUCCGCGUUGGACCGUGUACAAGUUUCCUGGAACGGAGCGUCAUAGAGGGUGAGAAUCCCGUCUUUGACACGGACCCCAAUGCUUUGUGAUGCGCUCUCAAAGAGUCGAGUUGUUUGGGAAUGCAGCUCAAAAUGGGUGGUGAAUUCCAUCUAAAGCUAAAUAUUGGCGAGAGACCGAUAGCGAACAAGUACCGUGAGGGAAAGAUGAAAAGCACUUUGGAAAGAGAGUUAAACAGUACGUGAAAUUGUUGAAAGGGAAACGCUUGAAGUCAGUCGCGUCGGCCGGGACUCAGCCUUGCAUCCGCUUGGUGUUCUUUCCGGUCGACGGGCCAGCAUCAGUUUUGCCCGCGAGAUAAAGGCGGAGGGAAUGUGGCUCUCUCGGGAGUGUUAUAGCCCUUCGUCAGAUGUCGCGGUUGGGACUGAGGAACUCAGCACGCCUUUAUGGCCGGGGCUCGCCCACGUACGUGCUUAGGAUGCUGGCGUAAUGGCUUUAAACGACCCGUCUUGA